AUACGUAGGUGGCGAGCGUUGUCCGGAAUUACUGGGUGUAAAGGGCGUGUAGGCGGGGAUAUAAGUCGGAUGUGAAAUACCGAGGCUUAACUUCGGGGGUGCAUCUGAAACUAUAUUUCUUGAGUACUGGAGAGGGAAGCGGAAUUCCUAGUGUAGCGGUGAAAUGCGUAGAUAUUAGGAGGAACACCAGUGGCGAAGGCGGCUUCCUGGACAGUAACUGACGCUGAGGCGCGAAAGCGUGGGUAGCGAACAGGAUUAGAUACCCUGGUAGUCCACGCCGUAAACGAUGGAUACUAGGUGUAGGAGGUAUCGACCCCUUCUGUGCCGGAGUUAACACAAUAAGUAUCCCACCUGGGGAGUACGGCCGCAAGGUUGAA
rnacentral:rRNA from 1 species